rnacentral:rRNA from 1 species
GAUGAACGCUAGCGGCAGGCUUAACACAUGCAAGUCGAGGGGUAGGGUAGCAAUACUUGAGACCGGCGCACGGGUGCGUAACGCGUAUGCAAUCUACCUUUUACAGAGGGAUAGCCCAGAGAAAUUUGGAUUAAUACCUCAUAGUAUACAGACUCGGCAUCGAGAUUGUAUUAAAGUCACAACGGUAAAGAUGAGCAUGCGUCCCAUUAGCUAGUUGGUAAGGUAACGGCUUACCAAGGCUACGAUGGGUAGGGGUCCUGAGAGGGAGAUCCCCCACACUGGUACUGAGACACGGACCAGACUCCUACGGGAGGCAGCAGUGAGGAAUAUUGGACAAUGGGCGCAAGCCUGAUCCAGCCAUGCCGCGUGCAGGAUGACGGUCCUA